UACGUAGGGAGCGAGCGUUGUCCGGAUUUACUGGGUGUAAAGGGCGUGUAGGCGGAGCUGCAAGUCAGAAGUGAAAUCUCCGGGCUCAACCCGGAAACUGCUUUUGAAACUGUAGCCCUUGAGUAUCGGAGAGGCAGGCGGAAUUCCUAGUGUAGCGGUGAAAUGCGUAGAUAUUAGGAGGAACACCAGUGGCGAAGGCGGCCUGCUGGACGACAACUGACGCUGAGGCGCGAAAGCGUGGGGAGCAAACA
rnacentral:rRNA from 1 species